rnacentral:rRNA from 1 species
UCUUCCCUACGGGGGGCAGCAGUGGGGAAUAUUGGACAAUGGGGGGAACCCUGAUCCAGCGACGCCGCGUGAGUGAAGAAGUAUUUCGGUAUGUAAAGCUCUAUCAGCAGGGAAGAAAAUGACGGUACCUGACUAAGAAGCCCCGGCUAACUACGUGCCAGCAGCCGCGGUAAUACGUAGGGGGCAAGCGUUAUCCGGAUUUACUGGGUGUAAAGGGAGCGUAGACGGCAG